UGUCGGUUAUAAAUUGAAAGUCUCAUUUUUUGUGGACUUUUAUUGAACAUGGGGAAGCCUAAAUAUUUUCCAAAAGAUGUGCUUGUUUUGAUCUUCAUAGAGGAGGAGAUCUCAUCUUUAAUCUCUUUGGAAGAAUUAUUAGAGAAGAGGAUUUUUGAUUUUUGGUUAUUGAUCCUCUGACCUGACCUAGAGCAAAAAUUAUCAAGGAUUUUAAUA
rnacentral:lncRNA from 1 species